rnacentral:rRNA from 1 species
CACGUAGGGCGCAAGCGUUGUCCGGAAUUAUUGGGCGUAAAGAGCUCGUAGGCGGUUUGUCGCGUCUGCUGUGAAAACUCGGGGCUUAACCCCGGGCCUGCAGUGGGUACGGGCAGACUAGAGUGCUGUAGGGGAGACUGGAAUUCCUGGUGUAGCGGUGAAAUGCGCAGAUAUCAGGAGGAACACCGGUGGCGAAGGCGGGUCUCUGGGCAGUAACUGACGCUGAGGAGCGAAAGCGUGGGGAGCGAACAGG